rnacentral:lncRNA from 1 species
GAUGAUUCAUCUAUUGACUCACUGAUGAUAACCUUAGCACACAGAAGCAGCUAAUGUAACAAACGCGUUCAUCCUGAAACACAAACGCACUGGACAACGCAAGGGAAACAGGCAGGAGGCACAGAGGCAGGCACUCAAGACGACGGAACCCUUUCAACCCAUGUCUUCCUUUCCGCUCCUUGGGUGAAGCAGACUUGAACAGUGGUGCCCAUUUGGUUUUGGUUAAUCUGAAAAUCAGUUCCAGUUCUUCGGUGUCAGUGGAUGCAGACAGAGCUUUUUUAUUUUUAUUUUUUUCAAAAACAUGACCUAACUAGAAUAAUUUUUCUAAAUUCAGCUGUUUUUCAAAAAGAACACAUGCCGCCUCUCUCAAAUGGUCCUGUUUAUUUGGUGUCCCAACAAAUUCCAUGUCUCAUUCAACGUGGAAAAAAUGUGACCCUAAGUACUACAGGACUCUAACAGCAGCAAUUAAUGUUUUUCGGAAGUACACAAGCUGCUGGCCAUGUGUCAUUUACAAAAGAGAAAUCCUUUUUAGAGAAAAAGUGCUGCUUAGAAUUGUAGAGAUCAUCAAUGGGAACAGAUGGGUGAAAGAUGACUUUAUGACUGACUGCAUAAACAGUGAGAGAGAGUAAAUUCUUGACAUCUUUAGACAGUUAGAUGUCGGCCACUAGUUGAGCUCCAUUCUUCCAGAAGACUCCAGAAUUGAGAGUCAAUGGAAUCAACCAGAUAGAUAUGAGCUUGUCUGUGUCCCCUGGAGAAGUGGCCAACGUGUAACCAUCUUUGAUGCCUCAGUAAGAUUACCAUUCAAUAAAAUAUGUCACUGUUGCCAUUUGGAGCUCAGUAAUGAAUGAUCACUAGCUGCACGGCAGCUUAUUACUUCUGUUUAAUACUGAGAAAAGUUUUGAGAAUAACAACAGUUACUCUCUUAUCAAGUGUUGACAGCUAAGGACAAUUUCCAGCCUUUCAGUCAGUUCCCUGUGUGCUUCAGUUAAGGUCUGGGAGCUGACCAAAGAAAUGGCUCUCAGGAGGUUGGUUGGUGCAUCCCUGCAGAUACACCGAGGUGUGUGUAGUGAGGUGUUUGUGCACAGAGGCACUACUGUUGACAAUAGAGGAGUUUGUCUUUGGAGGAUUAAGCAAAGGCACAGCUUAAAGGAGAAGGUGCUUGCGGUGUUCUCAUACUGGGUUCCUCUAACAGCAUAUAGAAGCUGAGUGCUGAGAAGGGUUACUUUAUAAAUACACAUUCAGUUCACUGCUCCCUCCCAAGUCAGUGAGAGAACCUAUAAGGCCUGAAGUGUUUCCCCUGUGCCGCUCAUUGCUGUGCUCAGUCCCACCAGACUUCUUUAGGAAAAUAAUGCUGGGUAAAAGACAGGAAAGGGCCAAAAACAAAAGCACUUCCUAAGGCUUACGUUAAACAUAUGGACAGUGGUGUUUCAAGAGCUUCUCCUAAGUAUAUCUGGGAGCCUUUUUGCCAUAGCUCUAGAACUUCUCCAAGGAAAUGAAUGCACAGCACAGAGGUGCUCAUGCUCUGAGAGAGGCAUGGUCCUCAGCUUGCUCUCCCAGCCCACAUACAGGAGACGUUUUUGAGAGGCAGCCCUUGACACCCAGCCUGCCGCCACUUGUUGAAUUCUGUCCGAGGAAUGGCCGUCACCCAACGAUGAACGAAGCGAGCCGGCUCUCAGAGCAAUAGGAGCAACCUUCCUACCGGGUACCGUGUCCCCGCAGGCCCCGUAACAGCACGGUCCCCCAAGCCACAGAAAGGGGCA